rnacentral:rRNA from 2 species
CGGCAAUGGAGGAAACUCUGACCGAGCAACGCCGCGUGAACGAUGAAGUAUUUCGGUACGUAAAGUUCUUUUAUUAGGGAAGAAUAAAUGAUGGAAAAAUCAUUCUGACGGUACCUAAUGAAUAAGCCCCGGCUAACUAUGUGCCAGCAGCCGCGGUAAUACAUAGGGGGCAAGCGUUAUCCGGAAUUAUUGGGCGUAAAGGGUGCGUAGGCUGUUAAAUAAGUUUAUGGUCUAAGUGCAAUGCUCAACAUUGUGAUGCUAUAAAAACUGUUUAGCUAGAGUAAGAUAGAGGCAAGUGGAAUUCCAUGUGUAGUGGUAAAAUGCGUAAAUAUAUGGAGGAACACCAGUAGCGAAGGCGGCUUGCUGGGUCUUUACUGACGCUGAGGCACGAAAGCGUGGGGAGCAAACAGGAUUAGAUACCCUGGUAGUCCACGCCGUAAACGAUGAGUACUAAACGUUGGGUAAAACCAGUGUUGAAGUUAACACAUUAAGUACUCCGCCUGAGUAGUACGUACGCAAGUAUGAAACUUAAAGGAAUUGACGGGACUCCGCACAAGCGGUGGAUCAUGUUGUUUAAUUCGAAGGUACCCGAAAAACCUCACCAGGUCUUGACAUGCUUCUGCAAAGCUGUAGAAACACAGUGGAGGUUAUCAGUUGCACAGGUGGUGCAUGGUUGUCGUCAGCUCGUGUCGUGAGAUGUUGGGUUAAGUCCCGCAACGAGCGCAACCCUUAUUGUUAGUUGCCAGCACGUAAUGGUGGGGACUUUAGCAAGACUGCCAGUGAUAAAUUGGAGGAAGGUGGGGACGACGUCAAAUCAUCAUGCCCCUUAUGACCUGGCUUCAAACGUGAUACAAUGGCUGUUACAAAGAGUAGCUGAA